CCUACGGGAGGCAGCAGUGGGGAAUAUUGCACAAUGGGGGAAACCCUGAUGCAGCGACGCCGCGUGGGGGAAGAAGGUCUUCGGCUUGUAAAGUCCUUUUAUCAGGGAAGAAAAUGACGGUAUCUGAAGAAGAAGCACCGGCUAACUACGUGCCAGCAGCCGCGGUAAUACGUAGGGGGCAAGCGUUACUCGGAUUGACUGGGUGUAAAGGGGGCGCAGACGGGGAUGCAAGCCAGAUGUGAAAGCCCGGGGCUGAACCCCGGGACUGCAGUUGGAACUGGGUGGCUAGAGUGGAGGAGAGGUAGGCGGAAUUCGUGGUGUAGCGGUGAAAUGCGUAGAGAUCAGGAGGAACACCGAUGGCGAAGGCGGCCUGCUGGAAUGCAACUGACGUUGAGGCGCGAAAGCGUGGGGAGCAAACAGGAUUAGAUACCCUUGUAGUC
rnacentral:rRNA from 1 species